GGUCUGUUAGUAUAAUGGUGGUACAGCUACCCUUCAAGUAGCUAGAGCCAGUUCGAAUCUGGUACAGACUA
rnacentral:tRNA from 3 species